GACGUAGGAGGCGAGCGUUAUCCGGAUUUACUGGGUGUAAAGCGCAUGCAGGCGGUUCGCUAAGUUGGGUGUGAAAGCUCCUGGCUCAACUGGGAGAGGUCGCUCAAAACUAGCGGGCUUGAGACUGGUAGGGGAAAGUGGAAUUCCGGGUGUAGUGGUGAAAUGCGUAGAUAUCCGGAGGAACACCAGUGGCGAAGGCGGCUUUCUGGACCAGAUCUGACGCUCAGAUGCGACAGCUAGGGGAGCAAACGGG
rnacentral:rRNA from 1 species